rnacentral:rRNA from 1 species
ACGGGAGGCAGCAGUGAGGAAUAUUGGUCAAUGGUCGGAAGACUGAACCAGCCAAGUCGCGUGCAGGAAGACGGUCCUAUGGAUUGUAAACUGCUUUUGUACGGGAAUAAAGUGCGGGACGUGUCCCGUUUGGAAUGUACCGUAAGAAUAAGGGUCGGCUAACUCCGUGCCAGCAGCCGCGGUAAUACGGAGGACCCGAGCGUUAUCCGGAUUUAUUGGGUUUAAAGGGUGCGCAGGCGGAUCGGUAAGUCAGGGGUGAAAAGUUGGGGCUCAACUCCAAUCGUGCCUUUGAUACUGCCGGACUAGAGUGCGAUAGACGUGGCCGGAAUGUGAUGUGUAGCGGUGAAAUGCUUAGAUAUGUCACAGAACACCGAUCGAGAAGUCAGGUCACGAGCUCGCAACUGACGCUCAGGCACGAAAGCGUGGGGAUCAAACAGGAUUAGAUACCCUGGUA